GGCUAGCCAGCCUGACCCACACUCUCCAAGGGAGUAAAUAUUGCCCUGUAAAUAAACUGUGUUAUUCCAGUCUGGAGUGCGGGUGAACAGAUGUGCAUUCGAUUUGUGACUACAAAGACAAUGACCCAACACACCUCCAGGCUGUGUAAGGGAUAUUUGACCAAGAAGGUGGGUGAUGGAGUGCUGCAUCAGAUGACCUGGCAUCCACAAUGACAUGAACUCAAGCCAAUUGAGAUGGUUUGGGAUGAGUUAGACUGCAGAGUGAAGUAAAAGAAGCCAACAAGUGCUCAGUUAAUGUUGGAACCCCUUUAAGGCUGUUGGAUAAGCAUUCCGAUUGAAGCUGGUUGAGAGAAUGCCAAGAGUGUGCAAAGCUGUCAUCAAGGCAAAGGGUGGCAACUUUGAGGAAUCUCAAAUAUAAAAUAUGUUGAUUUGUUUAAAACGUUUUUGAUUACUACAUGAUUCCAUAUGUGUUAUUUCAUAGUUUGAUGUCUUCAUUAUUGUUCUACAAUGUACAAAAUAGUAAAAAUAAAGAAAAACCCUUGAAUGAG